GACCGGUCUCGGCGGCGGCCGGUUCGGAGCGGCCGGACAUAGCGGGUACAGUGACGGCUGCGGGACCCUCCUCUCCGGCGGUGUCGGGCCAGCAAGAGCGCGGCCCCGGCGCUCUGCGGUGAGGCGCCUCCCGGCCCUGCCCGCCGCCUCACUCCUCCCCUACCCGCUCCGGCCGCCUCCUCCGUCCCUCCCUCACUGUCGGGUCCCGCGCUGGCAGCGGGCCGGGGGCUGCGCUCCGCGGGACAGCGGUCAGCGUGGGCUCCCGCCCGGGCUGGUGCGGGCUGCGGCGGGUCGGAAAACGGCACCUCAGGCACGGAUUGGCCGGGCGAGCCGCCGUCACCCGUGGCAGCGCAGUCCCUGGGACCCUUCGCACCUGCGACCCGCCGCCGGGCUGCGUGUGACCAGCCGGAGAGUGACCCGAGGGAGGGAUGCUGGAGGCCGCUGAUCGGGGUUACUUCGGUUUCGCUGAAGGGAUGUAGAGGGCUGCACCGAGUUCAGAACACCUGAAGAAGUUGCUGGUCGUGUGCUGUGUUUGUGGUGUGGGAACUGGGACUUGACAGCGAGGUGUUUGGGUGACUCCAGCGAGAAACAGGCGAUCGUUGCUGGCUCCUCAUUAUGAAUGCCAUGAUGUUCUUAGAGUCCCAGCCCCGUAAACCACGUGAUUUAAAUGACGGGGGUUUCUUUCUUUCUGCCUUAGAUACAAGACUUGAGAAUUUAGAAAAGGAGCCUACUUAGGUAACUACAACUUAUAACCGUUUUCAGCUCCUUUAGACUGUUUUGUCAAUUGCAGCAGUCUUUUUUCUCUUUUCCUUUUUCUUUCGUUCCCCCUCCCCCCCCCGAAGAAAAUACUGAAUGUCUUGUGGCUUGGUUUUGUCAUGUUUGUGCACCCACAUCUGAAAAUCUGUGCCGUACAAAUUAUUAGAAUCGGUUUGUAGUCGUGCAGAGGUGAGAUUAAAAGCAUCUGAGUCACAAGCGAUGCACGGUGCAAACAUAAAUUAUUUACAAAUUCUGAGCUGGAGCGUAUGCAGAGCCUCCUGGGUUCAGUAGGAGCCCUUUGGCUCAGGUGUGAAUUUGCAGGACUGGAGACAAGUAUCAUCACCUUGAAGUUGCUGGCAAGGUCCACCUUUUGCUGAGAUUUGUUUUUAAUACGUUUAAGAUCUAGGUCAGAGCCCAAGGUCUGCUCUAUCAAGCGAUGAGUGUUUUAGUUAAGUUAGCAAUCACUGUGCUUGACAAAGGAAUUCAGUAAAACCAUGGCAAGAACUUAGACUUUUCCACAAAUACUGCUGGAAGCUUGACUUGGGUAUGGUGAGCCUUGUUCUUUAGUCAUUGCAGUGUUCAGGGAUUUCCUGAGUGAAUUCAAAGACAAAGGGCAAGUGGCAAGGGCAACUAAAGCUGAGCUUUGACAACCAUCUUUUUAAUUUGCAAUAAAGAUUCCGUGUUUCUCUCCU
rnacentral:lncRNA from 1 species